GACUCCUCCAGCCGCUCCAGUUGUUAUAUACGCUCUGUGGCUAGAGCCCGUUCAUUGGCUGGCUUCAGCAGCAGGUCCGAACUGCAGAAAAAGGUCCACACCGAGUCCGCAAGUCAGUAUCGAGCGUAAGAUCCCUACCACUAACUCGGAUACCUUUGGGAGACUGGAUAACCCACAGUAAUAUGGCAUCAGCUGUAAUUGCGCGUGGUUUGCAAACAGAGUUCGACGGUGUUAAUCUAUUUGAAACGGGAACGUGUUACAGCGUUGACGAAAACAAACCAACAACCCGCUUCACCACAGUAACUUCUGAUUUUGAGGAAUAUGCACCGGACGGUGAGUGAGUGUAUCGAACUUAAGAAUCGAUGGUAUAGCUAUGUGAAACCAAUCUUUACAUAGACCUAUCAAAAGUGGUGAGGGGUUUCCAAGUUCAUUCGAUAGUUCAAGUUCAUUAACCAUAUUGAUUGGCAUUCUUCUUACAACAUUCUUCUUAUUAAUUACAGUCAUGAAAAGUAUCGACACAUCCGAAAGGUAAUAAAGGAUGGUUGGGCUUUCAGGGAUAUUUGCGUUGUGCGGCCAAAAAAGAAAUUUCCCUAAUACAGGGCUCGAAAUUAACUUUUUUACUUAAAGAAGUUAGGAGCACCCACCAAAAUGUAAGGAGCACCAACAAUAUAUGCAAUAGAUAUUUUUAUUGAUAAAAAACGACAAUAUAACAGUACGGUUUACAAGUAACAGUUAAACUGUCACGCUUAAAAUAUGUCGACUCCGUUGCAAACGCACUGUUUGUGUCCUGCCAUUUCCACGUGUUUUACAGUAAUGGGGGAGGGUAAGAAUGUCAAGCUCACGUUCGAUUGGUUAGAAUGGUCACUGUCAGCUGCGGUGCACUGGACGCCAUAUUGGUUUCAAAUUCUGACUCCUCCAGCCGCUCCAGUUGUUAUAUACGCUCUGUGGCUAGAGCCCGUUCAUUGGCUGGCUUCAGCAGCAGGUCCGAACUGCAGAAAAAGGUCCACACCGAGUCCGCAAGUCAGUAUCGAGCGUAAGAUCCCUACCACUAACUAGGAUACCUUUGGGAGACUGGAUAACCCACAGUAAUAUGGCAUCAGCUGUAAUUGCGCGUGGUUUGCAAACAGAGUUCGACGGUGUUAAUCUAUUUGAAACGGGAACGUGUUACAGCGUUGACGAAAACAAACCAACAACCCGCUUCACCACAGUAACUUCUGAUUUUGAGGAAUAUGCACCGGACGAUGACUUGCAUACCAGCUCUGGCCCUGGUAUAUGUCCCUGGACACUUGCUUGCACUUCAAGAAUCAGGGACAUUCUCAGAUGCUGCUGCUGCUGCUGUUACACUGUACCGGCGGACAUCAUUCAAGAACCUGAGCUCAGUUUUCCUUGCCAGGAGACUUCAAUGAGUUCUGUUCGGCCAUUCUGAUGGAAUCUCCUGAAGCAGCAACGUCAAAAGAUGAAGAUACAUCAAUUAUUACAUUUUACUUACUGAAGGGGGUGACCAACUGUCUUUGACUGAGGGAUAGUUUUUGCCAUAUUUUAUUAAAUAUUAAAGUGAAGGCUAUGGCCAGUUAUAUGCCAUCUGGAAGGAACAGCUCAGGGUUGAAGUCAGACGGUGUGGCCCAUCAAAACAGUGGCAAAACAGUGCCUUAUAGGGAACCCCGCCUGUAAAGACUAUGGCUUAAUAUGUUGUAAAUGCCCUCAACUAUGGAAAUAUGUUGUAAAAACCAGACAAAAGAUUUCAGUUAUUUAAAAAAAAAUCCAAGCCUUUAAUAGAAAUUUUGACCAAUGGAAAUUGGUCAUUAUUUUAGACGUGUAAUGCACUUUGGAUAGAAAAGGAAAAGAAAAUGUUAUGACAAUUUAAUAUAUCAAAUAUAUUUUAGUAAGUAAAUAAUGUAAAAAACCAGUGUUUGUUUUGCCUGCACUCAGUUCCCCCACUUUGAGUCAAAGGAUUUCUAGUUGUAGGAAAUCAUUUUUGGAAGGAAUUUUAAAGGGAAGCCAACUGCAGGAAUGAGUUUACUUUGUAACAGACAAUCAAUGGGCUGUUUAGCAAAUGCUUUCUAAAAAAUGUGUAAUUGCACUGCUGUGUUUCUCUGUCCUGUGUACACUUUGUGUUUUCCUGCCAUUUUCUGCUGAGCAAAAUUAGGCGCAUAGAUAUGUUUUCCUACUUUUGUUUUGGAGAAGCACAAUAUCAGUAUCGUGAAAUCACAGCUGACCUCACUUGAGCUGUUCAUGACCUGUGGAUAAUCCGCUCUCCUCCCUAAAAGUGGUAGUGAGAUGGGCAUGCUGAUUUUUUCUGGUGCAACUUCUGAGUCCCGGCCCUGGUGCUCUCACUCCUGGACUAUUGCAAGUCAGUCUUGCCAGUCUUCCUGCCUGUGCCACUAAACCACUUGCAGAUAAUGCAGAAUGUAGUUGUACGCAGCUUGUCUGCAGUCUUGCCAAGCAAGCUCAUGUUUUACCCUCAAGUGUGAAAUUAAUUUCCCAUAGUGGUCAGGUCAGGACAGCAGAAUUGUUCAUUUUGGUACUCCUUCCAUCUCAACUCUUACACUCAUACCAUUUUUUAAAACUUUUUUGUGGUUUGUAGCUUUUCUUCUCAGGGCUUGUUAUGGAUGUAAUCCAUAUGUAUUCAGGAUUUAUGUUUUGGUUAUUACUUUGCGUAGUUCAUUUCCAUUCGUGCUGUUAAACGGUUUACAGACCAAAGGAAAAUGGAUGUUUACUGUGCAGACAGGGAGUGAGCAGGGUCUGAUAAAGAGACAGUGCUCAGCUGCAAACAUCCUACUGGAUCAGCGUUAUGUAAAACGUAUGUUCUCCAUAAUAGUGUAAUCGUGUUUUGUAUUGUCGUGGGGAACAAGUUGGUGUCUCUGGUGGUGGGAUGCUGACUGAAGUACUUGAUAGCUAUGGGUCAGCGCCCAGCCAGAUACAAAGGUUAACCUGGUUAUGCUUGCAGAGAAGGGAUAAAUUAAUGUCAGGGUUCGUACGGUCAUGAAAAACCUGGAAAAGUCAUUGAAAUUUAAAAUGCAAUUUCCAGGCCCUGGAAAACUUAUGGAAAAUAAUAUUUUUUGAAAAGUUUUGGAAAAGUAAUGGAAAUAUAGCUAAAGGUGCAUCAAAUACAAUUGCUAAUUAAUCCAAUCAUAAAAAUGGUGUGUAUAGUCAUAAAACGUAAAUUGGCGCGUAACCUUCGCGGUAUUUUGGUGGUGUGAGAAGUUAAUUCGGUCUGGCUCAGUCUGUUUACAGGCACGCCCAACAGGCACACUUCUGCUAAUGUAGCAGUUAGUAAACGUAGGCACUACUGUGCCGACAAUAUGCCCGGGAAGUGCAGCUUCAAUAAUAUAUCAGGGCUCGAAAUUAACUUUUUUACUUGGUAGCACUGGUGCACCCAAUUUCAAAAAGUUAGGAGCACCCACCAAAAUGUAAGGAGCAUUCGCUUCAACUUUUCAGCUUUCGAUAACGCUAAUAAAUUGAACAUAAACUUUUGUCUUCAGGUAACAUAAGUAAACGCAUUAGCUCUCUGUGUCGCUUGACAGUGGAGUGCUGCAAAAGGGAGUGAUUGAAGACUAAUAUUAACCAAUUUAAAAUCAGCAUUAAAGGUAAGAAUGUCAAGCUCACGAUUGGUUAGAAGGGUCACCGUCAGCUCACAAGUGUACUAACUAGCGAAUGUACAGAGGAAGAGACGUUCGACUGAAAAAAGAAAAAAAAAAGGUAGCACCAGAACAAUUAUUUGCACUCGCACAAAUGCUCCCAAUUAUAUUUCGAAGUCGCACAGAUUAAAUUUUGGGAGCAUAUGCGACCAAAAUGAUCGCAAUUUCGAGCCCUGUUUGAGACAUUGACAAAAUGUUAAACUAUUCGAAUUAAAAUAUGAAAGAAUGUAUCUAAGUGUGUCUGUCUGGUGUUUAUUUGUUUUAGAGAGGCACCAUAUGUUUCAGAUGCAGACCUAAUUUUACUUAGUGUUACAAUAAAUAAUUUUAAAUCGCCCCGCUGAAAUAAAGUCAUUUGUUUUGGUCAUGGAAAUUCAGUUAAAGGUUGUGGAGAAGUCAUGGAAAAGUCAUUGAAAAUCAUUGGUGAAAAAGUGUAUGAACCCUGUAAUGUACUGUUUUGCUAUUGUCUUUAUUUGAUGACAUGCUGUUGUGCUUUGAUCUUUGAAUAUAUAAGCGGAAAGGUGCAAUGGUUUGAGGACUCAUCAAUAUGACCUCCUAUGCAUAUGCAAAUAGCCAUCUCAUUGCACACAGUCUUUUGCAUCUGUUUUUGCAUUACACAUACUGUAAAAUAAACUGCAUUCACUUUAACCUGGCAUUCCUUUUUGGCUGUUAUCGCUGCACUCCUAGCAGCUUCAGGGUCCUAACAUAAGCAUAGAACUCAGGAUAUCUACACCCCGUAGUCACUCACCUCUACUCUAGUGCCGUAGCAAGAUACACAAUUGUAUCUAUACAGGCUACACACACCAGAGGCACGUCCGCGUCUUCUAGCUACGAUAGAUAGCGAUCUGUAUAAAGAAACCCUUCUGGCAGAAUAUUUUUGGUCUCCUUAUAUGCACAACUCUUGGCACAGAGGUGAGGUUAAAACAUUUGUUUUGGAGGCAGGUUCCUUUGCCACUUCCGCUGUUUGGUACAUCUGAGGGGUUUCUUACAGUGCUUUAGUGAUGUUAACUACUGUAUGCACUGGUUGAUCUGGGAAUGUUGUUAACCAGUUCUGUGUCUGAAACAGCUUACUUUCCUACUAUUGAGCAUAUAAGUUGAGUACAGCGGAUAAGGUAGUUAAGUAGUGCAAUUUUCUCGAAAUGUAGUGAACCUAAAAUCCUGAACUAUAUUUUUUAGGAGGUCAUGCUAAGAAGUGGUCAAGCCAUCUUUGGGUCCCAUAAAUCAUAGAGGAUGCGGUGGGGCCUUUUUACUACAAAGGCGGGACGUCUUAUGCAACUUCCUCAGUACAACUGGAAAAUAGUACGAAGGAUAUUAUUUACACACACUGCCCAUUGCAUACUAAAAAAUAAGCAGUAGGCAGUAUGUUUAGUAGACUUCAUAUUUUGAGGACACAGUAGUUAGGAGGCUGUUUCGGACACAGCCCAGGUCUGACAUUACUACUCAUGUAAAUUGAAUGAAUGCACUUAAGUUCUGCUCUCAUAUGAAGCAUUUUAUUUAUUUUUAUGUUUUUUUUUUUUUUUUUUGAUUGUCCGUUUUAUAUUUUGUGUAUUUUUUUUGACAAAAGUCUGGGGGCAGGGGAUGAAUAUGUGCCUUGGCUUUAAAACUUUGAUGCAGCCCAGUUUUUGUUUUCGACUUUUUAAAGAAUGUUAAAUUGUAUUUUCUCUGGCAAAUAAAUUAAUGAGUAAUUUGUA